rnacentral:rRNA from 1 species
CAGGCUUAACACAUGCAAGUCGAGGGGCAGCAUGGUCUUAGCUUGCUAAGACUGAUGGCGACCGGCGCACGGGUGAGUAACACGUAUCCAACCUGCCGUCUACUCUUGGACAGCCUUCUGAAAGGAAGAUUAAUACAAGAUGGCAUCAUGAGUCCGCAUGUUCACAUGAUUAAAGGUAUUCCGGUAGACGAUGGGGAUGCGUUCCAUUAGAUAGUAGGCGGGGUAACGGCCCACCUAGUCUUCGAUGGAUAGGGGUUCUGAGAGGAAGGUCCCCCACAUUGGAACUGAGACACGGUCCAAACUCCUACGGGAGGCAGCAGUGAGGAAUAUUGGUCAAUGGGCGAGAGCCUGAACCAGCCAAGUAGCGUGAAGGAUGACUGCCCUAUGGGUUGUAAACUUCUUUUAUAAAGGAAUAAAGUCGGGUAUGCAUACCCGUUUGCAUGUACUUUAUGAAUAAGGAUCGGCUAACUCCGUGCCAGCAGCCGCGGUAAUACGGAGGAUCCGAGCGUUAUCCGGAUUUAUUGGGUUUAAAGGGAGCGUAGAUGGAUGUUUAAGUCAGUUGUGAAAGUUUGCGGCUCAACCGUAAAAUUGCAGUUGAUACUGGAUAUCUUGAGUGCAGUUGAGGCAGGCGGAAUUCGUGGUGUAGCGGUGAAAUGCUUAGAUAUCACGAAGAACUCCGAUUGCGAAGGCAGCCUGCUAAGCUGCAACUGACAUUGAGGCUCGAAAGUGUGGGUAUCAAACAGGAUUAGAUACCCUGGUAGUCCACACGGUAAACGAUGAAUACUCGCUGUUUGCGAUAUACGGCAAGCGGCCAAGCGAAAGCGUUAAGUAUUCCACCUGGGGAGUACGCCGGCAACGGUGAAACUCAAAGGAAUUGACGGGGGCCCGCACAAGCGGAGGAACAUGUGGUUUAAUUCGAUGAUACGCGAGGAACCUUACCCGGGCUUAAAUUGCAGAUGAAUUACGGUGAAAGCCGUAAGCCGCAAGGCAUCUGUGAAGGUGCUGCAUGGUUGUCGUCAGCUCGUGCCGUGAGGUGUCGGCUUAAGUGCCAUAACGAGCGCAACCCUUGUUGUCAGUUACUAACAGGUUCCGCUGAGGACUCUGACAAGACUGCCAUCGUAAGAUGUGAGGAAGGUGGGGAUGACGUCAAAUCAGCACGGCCCUUACGUCCGGGGCUACACACGUGUUACAAUGGGGGGUACAGAGGGCCGCUACCACGCGAGUGGAUGCCAAUCCCAAAAGCCUCUCUCAGUUCGGACUGGAGUCUGCAACCCGACUCCACGAAGCUGGAUUCGCUAGUAAUCGCGCAUCAGCCACGGCGCGGUGAAUACGUUCCCGGGCCUUGUACACACCGCCCGUCAAGCCAUGGGAGCCGGGGGUACCUGAAGUGCGUAACCGCGAGGAGCGCCCUAGGGUAAAACUGGUGACUGGGGC